UUAAAGGGAACCUGUCACCUGUAUUUUCUGUAUAGAGCUGAGGACAUGGGUUACUAGAUCGCCGCUGGCACAUCCGCAAUCCCCAGUCCCCAUAGCUCUGUGUGCUUUUAUGGUGGAAAAAACCGGUUUGAUACAUAUGGAAAUCCCCCUGAGAUGAGUCCUGUAGGUGAGAGGAGUCGGGGACUGGGGAUUGCGGAUGUGCCAGCGGCGAUCUAGUAACCCAUGUCCUCAGCUCUAUGCACAAAAUCCCGGUGACAGGUUCCCUUU